rnacentral:lncRNA from 1 species
AAAUCUCUUUAGUGAAUACUUUCGAUUGUCUACAUGCAACCCUGCGUUAUAAGAACCCCCCGGGCAAAGGCCUGUUAGGGACAUCUUUGGAAACAGGUGGGUCUGACGUCCUCGUCAUCCAAAUGUAGCUUUCCACUGUGGGCUGACCGAGGAAGCUGCCCUCUUACUGAAGAUGAGCUUGAAAAAGAUCAAGGAAAUGAAAAUAAAACAAAAAAAAAAAAAAAACAAAAAAAAACUUGCAAUUACACUCUUCCACCACUAGAUGCUAUACACGUAUAAGCAAGAUAAAAGUCCUCCGCCAUUUCUUUUCCCCAUCAGUGACCUCAGUGAUGAAUGGCCAACCAUAGCCUUGCUAUAUCCUGGGGUCUUGGAUAAUGUAGAAGAGUAAAAUCUAAGUCUUGCUUACAGAAUCUGAAGAAACUCUUCUGACUUCAAAGCUCAAUUCUGUGCCAUGGAAAUCAGAUAUACUAUAUCAUAUCUCAACUUAAGUGCAAAGGAGCAAACUCUGGCAAAACUUUAUGUAAAGGAAGAACUUUCUCCUCUUCUCUCCCCAUAUCAUCAUAGCAGCUACAUCCUACAAACACACAGCGGCUGUUAUCAGAAAUCAACUUGUGAAAGUCACCUCUACCCAUAGAUGAGGUUGUGAUGGUUUCAUCCAAAUGAUUUUAUGGCCUGUGAAGCAGUCAUUUGGAUCAAGGUUAACAAAUUCUUGGUAUCAGAGGUGCUACUGAGGACUCCACAUACCGAUACCAAUAAAUAAUGUCCAUACAACGAAGGUGGUGUUGGUUGAUACGGUUUGGAUCUGUGUCCCCACCCAAAUCGCAUGUUGAAUUGUAAUCCCCCAGUAUUG